GGUAUAAAAAGAGUUGUAUAACCGCAACUGGGGGGGCAAAAAUAGUUAUUAAUUUUUACAUUACUAAAUUUUAAUUUUUUAAAUUUUUUAUUUUAAUUACUACCCCUAAUAUUUUAUUUUUUUUAAAAUAAUUAAAAUUUCCCCCCAAAAUUUUUAUGGAAAAAAAGGGGGUAAAAAAUUUUUUUAAAACCAUAAGGAAAUUUUU
rnacentral:rRNA from 1 species